rnacentral:snRNA from 1 species
GUGCUCGUUUCGGCAGCACAUAUAUUAAAAUUGGAAUGAUACAGAGAAGAUUAGCAUGGCCCCUGCGCAAGGCUGACAUGCAAAUUCAUGAAGCAUUCCAUAUUUUU